GCAGAAUUACACUGUGGAAAGCUCUUGGAUUAUCUAUACCACUGUCAUCACUCACUUUCCCUCAGAUUUCUGGGCAUUAUCUGUGAAUAUAGCGUUAUCGUAUGAGCUUCAAAGCACUUGACUAGAAUACAGACACCUAGCUAAUAACUUUAAUAAAUCUUCCCCUUUUUACUUCUCCAAAUUUAAAAUGAAGCAAAUCGACAAUUGAUUUGGAUCAGACAUUUGAAUAAAAAAU